UACGUAGGGGGCGAGCGUUGUCCGGAUUUACUGGGCGUAAAGGGCGCGCAGGUGGCUUCUUAGGUUCGUCGUUAAAGCCCGCGGCUCAACUGCGGGUGGUCGGCGGAGACCGGGGGGCUUGGAGGCCGGUAGAGGGAUGCGGAAUUCCCGGUGUAGUGGUGAAAUGCGUAGAGAUCGGGAGGAACACCAGAGGCGAAAGCGGCAUCCUGGGCCGAGCCUGACGCUGAGGCGCGAAAGCGUGGGGAGCGAACAGG
rnacentral:rRNA from 1 species